GAUGAAGAACGUAGCGAAAUGCGAUAAGUAAUGUGAAUUGCAGAAUUCAGUGAAUCAUCGAAUCUUUGAACGCACCUUGCACCCUUUGGCAUUCCGAAGGGUAUGCUCGUUUGAGUGUCAUUGUACUCUCACACUCUCCGAUCCUAUGGAUUCGGGGAGCGGUGGACUUGGGUGUUGCUGCCUUUCCUUGUGGCUCACCUCAAAUGUGUGAGUGCACCUCUUGGUUGGACAUAGUACGGCGUGAUAAGUGUCUUCGCCGGCACCUCGCAAGAGGGUGGCCGAUCGGGAGCUCUGUGCUUUCAAACCGUCUUCGGACAAUUUCUGACAACUUGACCUCAAAUCGAGUAGGACUACCCGCUGAACUUAAGCAUAUCAAUAAGCGGAGGA
rnacentral:misc_RNA from 1 species